GGCUGGGCAUGCCAGGCACAGCAAGUGGGUCAGGCUGCAUGGUGUGACCUGCUUCCUUGCCCGCAGCCAUCUGGGUCCUGAAAGAGCCAAAUACUUCCUGAGCCCGCCAGCCCUGGCGCGAUGCAGGCGCCCCAGGGAGCUGGGCCUGCUGGAGGCAGCAGGAGGUGCCCUGGCUGGGACGCGCCUCUCUCAUGCCCAGGAUGCAGCGGAUGGCACAGUGGAGGCGGCAGCUGCAUGUGAUGCACCGGCUGGGGAAGCUGCACCAGGAUGAAACCAGCCUGCUGCUGGCCAGGGAGCCGCUCGCCAACCUCAAUGACAACCGGGGGGCGCAGGGGCCGGCCCGCUAUCUGCACAGGGCCCUCCAGGGAGGUCGCUGAGCAGGUGCCUGCUGGCUGUGGAGCCCAGUCCUGGCAUGGUGCCCCACAGCCGAUGCCAGAGCCAGCUGUGGGCGAAGCGUGGCCUGGACCCCGGACUCCCGCUCCCAUGCCCCCGCUGAGUGGGCAGAGGCUGCUGCAUGUUCACCCCAAGCUGGGGCCUGUGCUGGGGGCUGGACAGGCAGUGCUGGGGGGCCAAGGCAUGCCCCUGGCUGGCUGGCUAGUAGCCUGUGGAAUCUGCAGCACAAGGGGAGGGACUGGGCACAGGAUCUCCAGGCCACUGGUGCCAGCGUGUGUCCAGGGAGAUGGGAUUUGUCGCCUGCGCCGCAUGGCAGUGUGUUGGCUGGGCACUGAGCCUGUAGCAAAUGGAUCUGCCCCCCAGGGCUGUGCUCAGUCUGGCCAACGCCAGUCAAUGCGCCAGUGGCGCAGGCAGUGAGAAAGGCGCUCUGCCCCUCAUUCCCUCUCAGCUGCGCCCAGAGCUUAGGGCAGAGGGGCUGGCACUGACAGUGAGACCCAGCAGCUCUGCCAGUCCUGAGCGGAGGUGUGAGAAUCAGCCUUCCCCUCACAGGCAAGCUGGAGCUAACCGGGUGGGCCGCUCCCAGGCUGGGCUCCGCGAGUCCCUCUGGCCGGGCCUUUGCCGGGGGCGCCCAUGUGGCCAGGGGCUGCGGGCAGGGGCGGCGAGUUAGAUAGACGUGGUGCCCAGGCUCCAGGAAUAUUCCAGGUCUCUCCCCCAGCCCCGCCUGAUGCCCCCGGGUGAUUUAAAAGGGCCCGGAGACCCCUGGCCACCACCAUCGGCAGCUCAGCUGGGUAAGACAGCUUCUUCCCCGGCCUCACUCCGCGCUACUCCUGGAAGUGGCCGGAAUGGCCCUACAGCCCCUGGAGAGCAGGGGGUCUCCGCACGCUGUCUCUGCCCCAAGCGCCGACUCUGCAACUCCCAUUGGCUGGGAACUACAGCCAAUAGGAGCUAUGGGGGUGGUGCCUGCGGCCCCCCUGCCUCUAAGCCACUGCCAAUGUGGGGUGCUGGUCACUUUUGGGAGCUGCCCAAGAUAAUCGCUGCACCCCUUUCCUGCACCCCAAACCCCUGCCCCAGCCCAGAGCCCUCACCCCAACCCCGCUUCUGCACCCAAAAUCCCUCCCAGAGCCCGAUCCCACCGCACCCAAACUCUUUCCCACAGCCCAACCCUCCUCCCACACCCAACCCCCCUCCUGCACCCAAACUCCCUCCCAGAGCCCGACCCCACCGCACCCAAACUCCUUCCCACAGCCCGACCCUCCUCCCACACCC
ensembl:lncRNA